rnacentral:sRNA from 1 species
AAAAAUACUUUUAAAAAUCCUUGUAAUUUUUUUUGCCGGGAAAGAGAUUUACAAGGGAUUUUAAAAGGGUUUUAAAAGAUUUACAAGAGAUUUUAAAAGGGUUUUAAAAUAUUUACAAGGGAUUUUAAAAGGGUUUUAAAAAAUUUACAAGUGAUUUUAAAAGAUUUACAAGGGAUUUUAAAAGGUUUUAAAAAAAUUUACAAAAGUUUAUAAUUGAUCUUGUAAAUUCUUUAAAAAUCUUUUAAAACUCUUUUAAAGCAUUUAAAAAUCUCUUGUAAAUCUUUUAAAACCCUUUUAAAAUCCCUUGUAAAUCUUUUAAAACACUUUUAAACCCUUUAAAAAUCUUUAAAAAAACCUUUAUAAAUCUUUUAAAACUCUUUAAAAUCUCUUGUAAAUAUUUUAAAACCCUUUUAAAAUCCCUUGUAAAUCUUUUAAAACCCUUUUAAAAUCUCUUGUAAAUGUUUUAAAACCUUUUUAAAAUAAUUUUAAACCCUUUAAAAAUCGUUAAAAAACUUUUGUAAAUCUUUUAAAGCCCUUUAAAAUCCCUUGUAAAUAUUAUAAAACCCUUUUAAAAUCCCUUGUAAAUCUAUUUCCCGCCAAAAAAACUUUUUUUCGCGGAAAAAAUAUUUUUGGAAAAGAAAUUUUGGCGGGAAUUCUAUUUUUGAAAUUUUUUGGCGGGAAAAGAUUUUGAUGGAAACAUUUUGGCGGGAAAUUUAUUUUAGAAUAUUUUAAGCGAAAAAAUUUUCUUAA